UCUGGCGGGGAAGGUAAGGAAAAGGCGGGCUUUGGCGCGGCGAUUCGCCGGCGUCUCCUCGCCACGCGGCCUUCGCCGGCCGCUGCCGCCGUCAGCCGUCGCCACUGAGGAGAGGCAGGGACGAGCGCCGUCCGCCGCGGGAACCAGGGCCGAACGCCGCCGCGGGUCGGGGACGAGCGCUGUCCGCCGCGGGAGCCGAGGACGAGCGACACCGCGAGCCGGGACGAGCGCCGCCGCGAGCUGGGGACCGUUCAUCAUCGUCAGCGACCUCUUCUCAGGAUACCCGAAGUUGGUAUGCGGUUCAGAAAUUCGGAUGAGGCUUGGGAGUUCUGGGUGCAAUAUGGAGGUCACAUAGGCUUUGAUGUGAGGAACAGAAAUACCAUCAGAAGCAGAAUUGAUGGAACAAUCACUUCAUGUAGAUUUGUUUGUUCCAAUGAAGGCAUUCGAAGGAAAAGUCAAAUAGAUCACGAGCCGAAGCGCAUUAGAGCUGAAACAAGAACCAAUUGUAAAGUUCGGAUGAUUGUUUCAUUUGAUCGAGUGGCCAAAUUUUUUGAAGUCACCGAAGUUGAUUUGGAACACAAUCACCUCCUUCAAUUGCCACAAACCUGUCACUUGUUGGCAUUACAAAGGAAGAUUUCAGAUGUGCAAGCUUUAGAGAUAGAAAUAGCCAAUGAUUCUGGAAUUAUGCCAAAAGCUUCACAUGAGGUUGCAUGUCGUCGAGCUGGUGGGAAGUUCAACGUUGGUUACACUUUGACUGACCAAAAGAAUCAUUUGCGAACCAAGCGGCAGCGGGAGAUGGCUUAUGGACAGGCCGGUAGUAUGUUGAAGUUCUUUCGUGACAAGAUAGUUGAGAAUCCAUCAUUCCAAUAUCAUUUGCAGUUGGAUUGUGAGGAGCAUAUAGCCAACAUAUUAUGGGUUGAUGCUAAAAUGCUACUUGACUAUGCACACUUUGGUGAUGUUGUCACUUUUGACACUACAUUUGGCACGAACAAAGAGUAUAGGCCAUUUGGUAUUUUUCUUGGGCUCAAUUAGAUUAGAGAAACAACCAUUUUUGGUGCUGCAUUGAUGUUUGAUGAAACACGUGACUCAUUUAUAUGGCUCUUUGAGACAUUUAUAGCCGCACACAAUGGAAGGCAGCCUAGAACUAUCUAUACCGAUCAAGAUGCAGCAAUGGGAGGAGCCAUAGAGAAGGUCUUCACAGAAUCAUAUCAUGGACUGUGUACAUUUCAUAUCAUGCAAAAUGCUGUCAAACAUUUAACUCAAGUGGGAGUGGAGGAUGAAGUGGAGGAUGAAGAAAAAGAGCCUCAUAUUCUCACAGAUUUUGGUGCUUGUAUGUAUGGAUAUGAGGACAAGGCAGCAUUUGAAGAAGUGUUUGACAAUAUGAGGCUCAAAGUGCAUAAGCAAACUUGGUUAGAUAGCAUCUACAAGGUGAAAGAAAAAUGGGCUGAAUGUUAUAUGAGAGAUGUCUUUAGCUUGGGAGUGAGAAGUACACAAUUAAGUGAGAGCUUCAACAAUGCGUUGAAAAAUCAUUUGAAAUCAGAUUUUCAUAUUCUUCGGUUCUUGAUGCAUUUUGAGAGGACGGUGGAAGUAAAAAGAACAAAGGAAUUGUAAUCUGAAUUCAAUGCAAGAAAAUAUAUACUGAGAAUUAAGAUGUUCACUCCUAUGUUGGUGGAAGCAAGCAAAGUGUACACUUCGAUUAUAUUUGAAGCUUUCCAAGGUGAGUAUGAAAGAUCAAUGGCUGCAAGUUGUAGAGUAUUGGAUGGAAAUAACAGAUUUGCCGUUGCUAUUGCAAGUCAUGGUGAUUUAGAGUUUGAGGAGGAGCGCAUAGUGAUAGGUGAUCCUUUGACCAAAACGGUUUCAUGUAGUUGUGGAAUGUUCAAUAGGACGGGGAUAUUGUGUGGACAUGGUCUAAAAGUCCUUGAUUUGAUGAAUAUAAAGACAUUGCCGACACAUUAUGUCUUGAAGAGAUGGACUAGAGAAGCUCGCAAUGGAAGUAUAGAAGAUAAGGAAGGAAGGAAAGUGGUAGAAAAUCCAAAACUUGAAGCUCAACUUCGGUACAGGGAUUUGUCUCAUCAAUUUCACAACGUGGCACAUAGAGCAGCCAGCUCCCCACAGUGUUGUUUGCUAUUGGCUAAUGCACUUGCCUCCGUUGCACCUAGCAUACAGGAAAUACUCAAUGCCACUAGUGCUAUGGAUGAACCAUAUAAAGACAAAGAGAAUGUUGACCCAAAUGUGCAGCAAAUAGAUUAAUUGCUUAGAGCUGCACGACUGAAGAAAAAAGAGGUUCCGGCAACAAAAUUAAGGAGAAAGCAAACUUGGCUUGAUAAGUUACUCAAGGGGAAGCGUAUACCAUUGAAAUCUACCGCGCCGACCAAAACGGGAGAAAAUCCAAAAAAGAAGAAGGAUGGUGUGAAAAAAAAGAAGGAUGGUGUGCAAAAAAAGAAGAAGGGUGGUGUGCAAAAAAAGAAGAAGGAUGAUGUACAGCCUCAAGUACUAGUGGAGAAGUGUGACAACACCAAAGGAGUAAAUAUGGAGCCCCAAGAGUGCAAUGCUAUCAUGAGUUUCAGCCAGCUCUUGACGGCUCCGCCUUGUGGUGAGGAUGAUCUGUUCUAGCGUGCAAGCCCGCUAGAAGUAUUUUGGACAUAGUUAAGUGUAGUAUUUUGGGCUAACUAUAGACGUAUUUUGGGGCCUAAGUGUACAAAUCAAAUGGCACUAAAUGGCUGUUAAGAGCUCACUGAAUUCACUGGAAAGUGGUACUGAAAAUUCAGAUCAUGUACUUCUGAAUUACUUGUGAUGAAGUGGGUUGUCUGAAUCUAAAUAGUGAUGAAUGGCAUGUCUGAAUUUCUUAUGAAUAUGAAUGUAAACAGUAUAUUUGACUGUUGUUUGCA